rnacentral:rRNA from 1 species
UGACGGAGCAAGACCGCGUGGGGGAGGAAGGUUUUUGGAUCGUAAACCCCUUUUGUCAAGGAAGAAGCUCUGACGGUACUUGACGAAUAAGCCUCGGCUAACUCCGUGCCAGCAGCCGCGGUAAUACGGAGGAGGCAAGCGUUAUCCGGAAUGAUUGGGCGUAAAGCGUCUGUAGGUGGCCAGCUAAGUCUGCUGUUAAAGAUCACAGCUCAACUGUGGGAAGGCAGUGGAAACUGGCAAGCUAGAGGUUGGUAGGGGUAAAGGGAAUUCCCGGUGUAGCGGUGAAAUGCGUAGAUAUCGGGAAGAACACCGGUGGCGAAAGCGCUUUACUGGGCCAGACCUGACACUGAAGGACGAAAGCUAGGGGAGCGAAAGGGAUUAGAUACCCCUGUAGUCCUAGCUGUAAACGAUGGAGACUAGGUGUAGCACGUAUCGACCCGUGCUGUAUCGUAGCCAACGCGUUAAGUCUCCCGCC